UGGCAUAUCUCAAACUUUGCAAAAUUAUAAUGGCAUGGUUCCAAAUUACCCUUUUUU
rnacentral:sRNA from 1 species